rnacentral:rRNA from 1 species
GACGAACGCUGGCGGCGUGCUUAACACAUGCAAGUCGAGCGGAAAGGCUCCUUCGGGGGUACUCGAGCGGCGAACGGGUGAGUAACACGUGAGUAAUCUGCCCUUGGCUUUGGGAUAACUACCGGAAACGGUGGCUAAUACCGGAUACGACCACUCCUUGCAUGAGGUGGUGGUGGAAAGUUUUUCGGCCAGGGAUGUGCUCGCGGCCUAUCAGCUUGUUGGUGGGGUAAUGGCCUACCAAGGCUUCGACGGGUAGCCGGCCUGAGAGGGUGACCGGCCACACUGGGACUGAGACACGGCCCAGACUCCUACGGGAGGCAGCAGUGGGGAAUAUUGGACAAUGGGCGGAAGCCUGAUCCAGCAACGCCGCGUGAGGGAUGACGGCCUUCGGGUUGUAAACCUCUUUCAGUACCGACGAAGCGCCGAUGAUGGUGGUGACGGUAGGUACAGAAGAAGCACCGGCCAACUACGUG